rnacentral:misc_RNA from 1 species
GAUGAAGAACGUAGCGAAAUGCGAUAAGUAAUGUGAAUUGCAGAAUUCAGUGAAUCAUCGAAUCUUUGAACGCACCUUGCGCUCUUUGGUAUUCCGAAGAGCAUGCCUGUUUGAGUGUCAUGAAAAUAUCAACCUUGACUUGGGUUUUAUGCUCUAGUCUCGGCUUGGAAUUGGGUGCUUGCCGCUUUUACGAGCGGCUCACCUUAAAUGUAUUAGCUGGAUCUGUCUUUGAGACUUGGUUUGACUUGGCGUAAUAAGUAUUUCGCUAAGGACAUUCUUCGGAGUGGCCUCGUUUCUAGGACGCUUGUCCGCUUUCCAAUACAAGUUCCACCUCGUGGACAUGACUUUUUAUUAUCUGGCCUCAAAUCAGGUAGGACUACCCGCUGAACUUAAGCAUAUCAAUAAGCGGAGGA